rnacentral:rRNA from 1 species
GACGAACGCUGGCGGCGUGCUUAACACAUGCAAGUCGAACGGAAAGGCCCUGCUUUUGUUGGGUUCUCGAUUGGCGAACGGGUGAGUAACACGUGAGUAACCUGCCCUUGACUUUGGGAUAACUUCAGGAAACUGGGGCUAAUACCGGAUAUGAUCUCCUGCUGCAUGGUGGUGGUUGGAAAGUUUCGGCGGUUGGGUAUGGACUCGCGGCUUAUCCGCUUGUUUGUGGGGUAGUUGCUUACCAAGGCUUUGACGGGUGGCCGGCCUGAGAGGGGGAACGGCGACAUUGGGACUGAGAGACGGCCCAGAAGCGUACGGGAGGCAGCAGGGGGGAAUAUUGCACAAUGGGGGGAAGCCUGAUGCAGAAACGCCGCGUGCGGGAUGACGGCCUUCGGGUUGUAAACAGCUUUCGACUGUGACGAAGCGUGAGUGACGGUAAUGGGUAAAGAAGCACCGGCUAACUACGUG